UUGCGGGAGUACUCUGACGCAGUGACGCCGCGUAUAGGAAGAAGGUUUUCGGAUUGUAAACUAUUGUCGUUAGGGAAGAUACAAGACAGUACCUAAGGAGGAAGCUCCGGCUAACUACGUGCCAGCAGCCGCGGUAAUACGUAGGGAGCAAGCGUUAUCCGGAUUUAUUGGGUGUAAAGGGUGCGUAGACGGGAAAGCAAGUUAGUUGUGAAAUCCCUCGGCUUAACUGAGGAACUGCAACUAAAACUACUUUUCUUGAGUGUUGGAGAGGAAAGUGGAAUUCCUAGUGUAGCGGUGAAAUGCGUAGAUAUUAGGGGAACACCGGUGGCGAAGGCGACUUUCUGGACAAUAACUGACGUUGAGGCACGAAAGUGUGGGGAGCAAACAGGAUUAGAUACCCUGGUAGUCCACACCGUAAACGAUGGAUACUAGGUGUAGGGAACAUUAAGUUUUCUGUGCCGUCGCAAACGCAAUAAGUAUCCCACCUGGGGAGUACGGCCGCAAGGUUGAAACUCAAAGGAAUUGACGGGGGCCCGCACAAGCAGUGGAGUAUGUGGUUUAAUUCGACGCAACGCGAAGAACCUUACCAGGGCUUGACAUACAGAUGAAUAUACUAGAGAUAGUAUAGCUCUUCGGAGCAUCUGUACAGGUGGUGCAUGGUUGUCGUCAGCUCGUGUCGUGAGAUGUUAGGUUAAGUCCUGCAACGAGCGCAACCCCUGUGAUUAGUUGCCAACAAGUAAAGCUGGGAACUCUAAUCAGACUGCCGGUGAUAAAUCGGAGGAAGGUGGGGAUGACGUCAAAUCAUCAUGCCCUUUAUGUCCUGGGCUACACACGUACUACAAUGGCUGUACAGAGAGAAGCAAAACAGUGAUGUUGAGCAAACUUUAAAAGCAGUCUCAGUUCGGAUGAGCUGAAUUCGCUCAUGAGCCGAUGCUAGUAUGCAGUCAGCAUACUACGUGUAUACGUCCGGGCUGUACACACCGCCGUCACACCAUGGAGUGGGAUACCCGAGCUGGAGCACUAUUGCUAAGCAGCAGUCGAGUAGAUCAAUGAUGGGGUGAGUCUGUACCCAGGUAGCCGUAUC
rnacentral:rRNA from 1 species